rnacentral:rRNA from 1 species
GACGAACGCUGGCGGCGUGCUUAACACAUGCAAGUCGAACGAAGAGCGAUGGAAGCUUGCUUCUAUCAAUCUUAGUGGCGAACGGGUGAGUAACGCGUAAUCAACCUGCCCUUCAGAGGGGGACAGCAGUUGGAAACGACUGCUAAUACCGCAUACGAUCUAACCUCGGCAUCGAGGAUAGAUGAAAGGUGGCCUCUACAUGUAAGCUAUCACUGAAGGAGGGGAUUGCGUCUGAUUAGCUAGUUGGAGGGGUAACGGCCCACCAAGGCGAUGAUCAGUAGCAGGUCUGCGAGGAGGAACGGCCACAUUGGGACUGAGACACGGCCCAGACUCCUACGGGAGGCAGCAGUGGGGAAGCUUCCGAAAUGGACGAAAGUCUGACGGAGCAACGCCGCGUGAGUGAUGACGGCCGUCGGGUUGGAAAGCUCUGUUAAUCGGGACGAAAGGCCUUCUUGCGAAUAGUUAGAAGGAUUGACGGUACCGGAAUAGAAAGCCACGGCUAACUACGUG